CAUCUCAGGGUUCAGCAAAACAAAGAGCUGAAACCCCCUUAUCUUUUGCAUUUUUCCCUCCCGACAUGUACUUUCUGAAGGAACAGAGAAAAUGGAGGUCUCAGAGCUUUUUUUCCAUUCGUUAGUCUGACUAAAGGUGACUCUGGCUCAGUGCAGUGAGGGUCAUCUCCCUCCCCCAGAUCAAUAUUUUAAUAUGACUUAUCAGAACAAGAAUGAAUUGUUUACUUUAAAACCUCAGGAUCCCAUAAAGGGAGAGGGAAAGGUGUCCACUGGAAGCAGAGGCUUGCAGCAGCUGCCCACUGCUGGGAACUCAGAAAAGAAACCAGGACUCCAAAGAUUCGAGUACAGACAGUCAGCAAAAUGUCCUGCGAGAGAAUCCCAGUUCUGCCAAGCCCUAACAACACACCAGAGGAUCCUUUGGCUCUUGUCUCCGAUGGUCCUUGAAAUUCCCUCUUCUGAAGCCUGCAGUGUGCCUCCAUCACUCGUUCCAUGGGCUAAGCACCUGCUCCCAGAGCUGUGGAGUGUGACAAUGGUGUUUGUGUCCAGUCUAUCAAACGCCAUUAUCACACUAAAUAGUUCCUGGCAGACAAGGCAUCAGGUCAAGAAGGUUUGGACCUCUGGCAGUACACCUACCUUCCCACUGUGCUGAGGAAUAAACAACCGUGGUACAUGCACAGCAAGAUGACUCUGCUCCUUCUUUUAGAGGCAAAAGCACCAGAAUAUGUGAGAAAUCCAUACUCUGACACAGGCACUUCCAGAUCCUCAUUGUAAAGCACACCAGACAUCUUAAGGAACCAUCACUAUACUGUCAUCAUUAGGAAUGUGGAUUUCCUUGGCAUUAAUAGGGCUGUGUUUACCUCUGACAAGUCAGCUUGUGAUUUUUAUUAAAAAUGAACUGACCAGGACAAUAAAACUGAAAGCAAUUAACCAAUAGAGUGGAACUCCAUCUCUGACUUUGGGACCAAACUACAACAUACAUUUGGAAUAUUAACUGGCUGAAAUGCUCAUGAGAUUUUUCAAACUGAACACUUCCCAAAAUUCUGAUAAAAAUCUGUUGCCUCUAACUUGAAACACCAUUUAUUCAAUGCUUUUAGCUUUGCUCCAUCCCACCACACUCAAGCCCCUUGCCUUAUGUUCUAAACCCCCUGUUUUGGGAACAGCCACAAUGCUCUCACAGAAAUUCUUCUGAACACUACUGUAAAGAAUAAGCAUCAUCUGUAGGAACUUCCAAAGCCCUAAUGAAA